rnacentral:rRNA from 1 species
UACGGAGGAUGCGAGCGUUAUCCGGAUUUAUUGGGUUUAAAGGGCGUGCAGCCGGGCUGACAAGUCAGAUGUGAAAUCCCGCGGCUCAACCGCGGAACUGCAUUUGAAACUGUCAGUCUUGAGUACCGGAGAGGUCAUCGGAAUUCCUUGUGUAGCGGUGAAAUGCGUAGAUAUAAGGAAGAACACCAGUGGCGAAGGCGGAUGACUGGACGGCAACUGACGUUGAGGCUCGAAAGCGUGGGGAGCAAACAGG